rnacentral:rRNA from 1 species
GGUGACGAGCGGCGGACGGGUGAGUAAUGUCUGGGAAACUGCCUGAUGGAGGGGGAUAACUACUGGAAACGGUAGCUAAUACCGCAUAAUGUCGCAAGACCAAAGUGGGGGACCUUCGGGCCUCAUGCCAUCAGAUGUGCCCAGAUGGGAUUAGCUAGUAGGUGGGGUAACGGCUCACCUAGGCGACGAUCCCUAGCUGGUCUGAGAGGAUGACCAGCCACACUGGAACUGAGACACGGUCCAGACUCCUACGGGAGGCAGCAGUGGGGAAUAUUGCACAAUGGGCGCAAGCCUGAUGCAGCCAUGCCGCGUGUGUGAAGAAGGCCUUCGGGUUGUAAAGCACUUUCAGCGGGGAGGAAGGCGUUAAGGUUAAUAACCUUGGCGAUUGACGUUACCCGCAGAAGAAGCACCGGCUAACUCCGUGCCAGCAGCCGCGGUAAUACGGAGGGUGCAAGCGUUAAUCGGAAUUACUGGGCGUAAAGCGCACGCAGGCGGUCUGUCAAGUCGGAUGUGAAAUCCCCGGGCUCAACCUGGGAACUGCAUUCGAAACUGGCAGGCUAGAGUCUUGUAGAGGGGGGUAGAAUUCCAGGUGUAGCGGUGAAAUGCGUAGAGAUCUGGAGGAAUACCGGUGGCGAAGGCGGCCCCCUGGACAAAGACUGACGCUCAGGUGCGAAAGCGUGGGGAGCAAACAGGAUUAGAUACCCUGGUAGUCCACGCCGUAAACGAUGUCGAUUUGGAGGUUGUGCCCUUGAGGCGUGGCUUCCGGAGCUAACGCGUUAAAUCGACCGCCUGGGGAGUACGGCCGCAAGGUUAAAACUCAAAUGAAUUGACGGGGGCCCGCACAAGCGGUGGAGCAUGUGGUUUAAUUCGAUGCAACGCGAAGAACCUUACCUGGUCUUGACAUCCACAGAACUUUCCAGAGAUGGAUUGGUGCCUUCGGGAACUGUGAGACAGGUGCUGCAUGGCUGUCGUCAGCUCGUGUUGUGAAAUGUUGGGUUAAGUCCCGCAACGAGCGCAACCCUUAUCCUUUGUUGCCAGCGGUUCGGCCGGGA